GUGCUCACUUUGGCAGCACAUGCACUAAAAUUGGAAGGAUACGAGAAGAUUAGCAUGGCCCUUGUGCAAGGAUGACACACAAAUUUGUGAAGAGAAAAAAAAAGAG
rnacentral:snRNA from 1 species